UUAAGCGACUAAGCGUACACGGUGGAUGCCUAGGCAGUCAGAGGCGAUGAAGGGCGUGCUAAUCUGCGAAAAGCGUCGGUAAGCUGAUAUGAAGCGUUAUAACCGACGAUACCCGAAUGGGGAAACCCAGUGCAAUACGUUGCACUAUCGUUAGAUGAAUACAUAGUCUAACGAGGCGAACCGGGGGAACUGAAACAUCUAAGUACCCCGAGGAAAAGAAAUCAACCGAGAUUCCCCCAGUAGCGGCGAGCGAACGGGGAGGAGCCCAGAGUCUGAAUCAGUUUGUGUGUUAGUGGAAGCGUCUGGAAAGUCGCACGGUACAGGGUGAUAGUCCCGUACACCAAAAUGCACAGGCUGUGAACUCGAUGAGUAGGGCGGGACACGUGACAUCCUGUCUGAAUAUGGGGGGACCAUCCUCCAAGGCUAAAUACUCCUGACUGACCGAUAGUGAACCAGUACCGUGAGGGAAAGGCGAAAAGAACCCCGGCGAGGGGAGUGAAAUAGAACCUGAAACCGUGUACGUACAAGCAGUGGGAGCACCUUCGUGGUGUGACUGCGUACCUUUUGUAUAAUGGGUCAGCGACUUAUAUUUUGUAGCAAGGUUAACCGAAUAGGGGAGCCGUAGGGAAACCGAGUCUUAACUGGGCGUCUAGUUGCAAGGUAUAGACCCGAAACCCGGUGAUCUAGCCAUGGGCAGGUUGAAGGUUGGGUAACACUAACUGGAGGACCGAACCGACUAAUGUUGAAAAUUAGCGGAUGACUUGUGGCUGGGGGUGAAAGGCCAAUCAAACCGGGAGAUAGCUGGUUCUCCCCGAAAGCUAUUUAGGUAGCGCCUCGUGAACUCAUCUUCGGGGGUAGAGCACUGUUUCGGCUAGGGGGCCAUCCCGGCUUACCAAACCGAUGCAAACUCCGAAUACCGAAGAAUGUUAUCACGGGAGACACACGGCGGGUGCUAACGUCCGUCGUGAAGAGGGAAACAACCCAGACCGCCAGCUAAGGUCCCAAAGUCAUGGUUAAGUGGGAAACGAUGUGGGAAGGCACAGACAGCCAGGAUGUUGGCUUAGAAGCAGCCAUCAUUUAAAGAAAGCGUAAUAGCUCACUGGUCGAGUCGGCCUGCGCGGAAGAUGUAACGGGGCUAAACCAUGCACCGAAGCUGCGGCAGCGACACUUAGGUGUUGUUGGGUAGGGGAGCGUUCUGUAAGCCGUUGAAGGUGACCUGUGAGGGUUGCUGGAGGUAUCAGAAGUGCGAAUGCUGACAUAAGUAACGAUAAUGCGGGUGAAAAACCCGCACGCCGGAAGACCAAGGGUUCCUGUCCAACGUUAAUCGGGGCAGGGUGAGUCGACCCCUAAGGCGAGGCUGAAAAGCGUAGUCGAUGGGAAACAGGUUAAUAUUCCUGUACUUGGUGUUACUGCGAAGGGGGGACGGAGAAGGCUAGGCUGGCCGGGCGACGGUUGUCCCGGUUUAAGCGUGUAGGGGGAGUGACCAGGUAAAUCCGGUUGCUUAUCAACCCUGAGGCGUGAUGACGAUGCACUACGGUGCAGAAGCAGUUGAUGCCAUGCUUCCAGGAAAAGCCUCUAAGCAUCAGGUAACAUUAAAUCGUACCCCAAACCGACACAGGUGGUCAGGUAGAGAAUACUCAGGCGCUUGAGAGAACUCGGGUGAAGGAACUAGGCAAAAUGGUGCCGUAACUUCGGGAGAAGGCACGCUGGCGUUAGGUGAAAGGACUAGCUCCUGGAGCUGAAGCCAGUCGCAGAUACCAGCUGGCUGCAACUGUUUAAUAAAAACACAGCACUGUGCAAACACGAAAGUGGACGUAUACGGUGUGACGCCUGCCCGGUGCUGGAAGGUUAAUUGAUGGGGUCAGCCGCAAGGCGAAGCUCUUGAUCGAAGCCCCAGUAAACGGCGGCCGUAACUAUAACGGUCCUAAGGUAGCGAAAUUCCUUGUCGGGUAAGUUCCGACCUGCACGAAUGGCGUAAUGAUGGCCAGGCUGUCUCCACCCGAGACUCAGUGAAAUUGAACUCGCUGUGAAGAUGCAGUGUACCCGCGGCAAGACGGAAAGACCCCGUGAACCUUUACUAUAGCUUGACACUGAACAUUGAGCCUUGAUGUGUAGGAUAGGUGGGAGGCCUUGAAGUGUGGACGCCAGUCUGCAUGGAGCCAACCUUGAAAUACCACCCUUUAAUGUUUGAUGUUCUAACUCGGCCCCAUAAUCUGGGGUGAGGACAGUGUCUGGUGGGUAGUUUGACUGGGGCGGUCUCCUCCCAAAGAGUAACGGAGGAGCACGAAGGUUAGCUAAUCACGGUCGGACAUCGUGAGGUUAGUGCAAAGGCAUAAGCUAGCUUGACUGCGAGAGUGACGGCUCGAGCAGGUACGAAAGUAGGUCUUAGUGAUCCGGUGGUUCUGAAUGGAAGGGCCAUCGCUCAACGGAUAAAAGGUACUCCGGGGAUAACAGGCUGAUACCGCCCAAGAGUUCAUAUCGACGGCGGUGUUUGGCACCUCGAUGUCGGCUCAUCACAUCCUGGGGCUGAAGUAGGUCCCAAGGGUAUGGCUGUUCGCCAUUUAAAGUGGUACGCGAGCUGGGUUUAGAACGUCGUGAGACAGUUCGGUCCCUAUCUGCCGUGGGCGUUGGAAGAUUGAGAGGGGCUGCUCCUAGUACGAGAGGACCGGAGUGGACGAAUCACUGGUGUUCGGGUUGUCAUGCCAAUGGCAUUGCCCGGUAGCUAAAUUCGGAAGAGAUAACCGCUGAAAGCAUCUAAGCGGGAAACUUGCCUCGAGAUGAGUCUUCCCUGGGGCUUAAAGCCCCCUGAAGGAACGUUAAAGACUAUGACGUUGAUAGGCUGGGUGUGUAAGUGCAGCGAUGUAUUGAGCUAACCAGUACUAAUGAUCCGUGAGGCUUAACCUU
rnacentral:rRNA from 1 species